rnacentral:rRNA from 1 species
AGGGCGGGACACGUGAUAUCCUGUCUGAAUAUGGGGGGACCAUCCUCCAAGGCUAAAUACUACUGACUGACCGAUAGUGAACCAGUACCGUGAGGGAAAGGCGAAAAGAACCCCUGUGAGGGGAGUGAAAUAGAACCUGAAACCGUGUACGUACAAGCAGUAGGAGCAGGCUUUGUCCUGUGACUGCGUACCUUUUGUAUAAUGGGUCAGCGACUUAUAUUCAGUGGCAAGGUUAACCAUCUAGGGGAGCCGUAGGGAAACCGAGUCUUAACUGGGCGUUCAGUCUCUGGAUAUAGACCCGAAACCAGGUGAUCUAGCCAUGGGCAGGUUGAAGGUUGAGUAACAUCAACUGGAGGACCGAACCGACUAAUGUUGAAAAAUUAGCGGAUGACUUGUGGCUAGGGGUGAAAGGCCAAUCAAACCUGGAGAUAGCUGGUUCUCCCCGAAAGCUAUUUAGGUAGCGCCUCGGACGAAUACUACUGGGGGUAGAGCACUGUUAAGGCUAGGGGGUCAUCCCGACUUACCAACCCUUUGCAAACUCCGAAUACCAGUAAGUACUAUCCGGGAGACACACGGCGGGUGCUAACGUCCGUCGUGGAGAGGGAAACAACCCAGACCGCCAGCUAAGGUCCCAAAUUACUACUAAGUGGGAAACGAUGUGGGAAGGCUCAGACAGCCAGGAUGUUGGCUUAGAAGCAGCCAUCAUUUAAAGAAAGCGUAAUAGCUCACUGGUCGAGUCGGCCUGCGCGGAAGAUGUAACGGGGCUAAGUAGUAAACCGAAGCUGCGGCAAUGUGCUUUUGCACAUUGGGUAGGGGAGCGUUCUGUAAGCGGUUGAAGGUGUGUGGUAACGCAUGCUGGACGUAUCAGAAGUGCGAAUGCUGACAUGAGUAACGAUAAAGGGGGUGAAAAACCUCCUCGCCGGAAGACCAAGGGUUCCUGUCCAACGUUAAUCGGGGCAGGGUAAGUCGACCCCUAAGGCGAGGCCGAAAGGCGUAGUCGAUGGGAAACGGGUUAAUAUUCCCGUACUUCUUACAAUUGCGAUGGGGGGACGGAGAAGGCUAGGUGGGCCUGGCGACGGUUGUCCAGGUUCAAGUGCGUAGGCUUAAGAGUUAGGUAAAUCCGGCUCUUUUUAAGGCUGAGACACGACGUCGAGCACCUACGGGUGUGAAGUCAUUGAUGCCAUGCUUCCAGGAAAAGCCUCUAAGCUUCAGAUUGUAAGGAAUCGUACCCCAAACCGACACAGGUGGUCGGGUAGAGAAUACCAAGGCGCUUGAGAGAACUCGGGUGAAGGAACUAGGCAAAAUGGUACCGUAACUUCGGGAGAAGGUACGCUCUCGACGGUGAAGUCCCUCGCGGAUGGAGCUAUUGAGAGUCGCAGAUACCAGGUGGCUGCAACUGUUUAUUAAAAACACAGCACUGUGCAAAAUCGUAAGAUGACGUAUACGGUGUGACGCCUGCCCGGUGCCGGAAGGUUAAUUGAUGGGGUUAGACUUCGGUCGAAGCUCUUGAUCGAAGCCCCGGUAAACGGCGGCCGUAACUAUAACGGUCCUAAGGUAGCGAAAUUCCUUGUCGGGUAAGUUCCGACCUGCACGAAUGGCGUAAUGAUGGCCACGCUGUCUCCACCCGAGACUCAGUGAAAUUGAAAUCGCUGUGAAGAUGCAGUGUACCCGCGGCUAGACGGAAAGACCCCGUGAACCUUUACUACAGCUUGGCACUGAACAUUGACCCUACAUGUGUAGGAUAGGUGGGAGGCUUUGAAGCACGUACGCCAGUAUGUGUGGAGCCGUCCUUGAAAUACCACCCUUGUAGUGUUGAUGUUCUAACGUCGACCCCUUAUCGGGGUUGCGGACAGUGCCUGGUGGGUAGUUUGACUGGGGCGGUCUCCUCCCAAAGAGUAACGGAGGAGCACGAAGGUGGGCUAAUCACGGUUGGACAUCGUGAGGUUAGUGCAAUGGCAUAAGCCCGCUUGACUGCGAGAAUGACAAUUCGAGCAGGUGCGAAAGCAGGUCAUAGUGAUCCGGUGGUUCUGAAUGGAAGGGCCAUCGCUCAACGGAUAAAAGGUACUCCGGGGAUAACAGGCUGAUACCGCCCAAGAGUUCAUAUCGACGGCGGUGUUUGGCACCUCGAUGUCGGCUCAUCACAUCCUGGGGCUGAAGUCGGUCCCAAGGGUAUGGCUGUUCGCCAUUUAAAGUGGUACGCGAGCUGGGUUUAGAACGUCGUGAGACAGUUCGGUCCCUAUCUGCCGUGGGCGUUGGAAGAUUGAAGGGGGCUGCUCCUAGUACGAGAGGACCGGAGUGGACGAA